UGGGGGUAGCUGAUAGAAGUUGCCGAACCUGCCCAGAUCCGAGGUCUUUUUUUUUGUCUUGAACAUAUUUGUGGUGUUUUUGAAAUGAUAAUCUACCUCUCUAAUGGAGUGUUGAAAUUCGCAUGCCUACUCAUACCUGCUCUUGCUGCCAAUUGACAAAAAUUUUUA